rnacentral:ncRNA from 12 species
UGUGUGCGGGUCUGUGGUUGAAAGUCGAUGCCAGUCGCAGGCGAAACGACCCACGUAAGGCAACUCGUGGUUGCUGAGCAUGGUGCGGCUUAGGAGUAAGUCCUGCCCGCGUUGCUCCCGGCUCUCGGGGGAGCGCGGAGAUGAGGUGACGCGUGCCAUCAGUGGCUCCGAAGGGUCUACCGCCGGUGACGGUCGGUGCCGCCGGAGUCCGGCCGCAACUCUCACCGCAGGCGAGUGUGGGGUCAAAGACCAGGUCAGCCGCCCGCA